rnacentral:rRNA from 1 species
ACGGGUGACGUAACACGGUGGGAAUUUGUCCUCGGGGUAUGGAAUAACUCAGGAAACUUGAGCUAAUACCAUAUAAUGUCUUCGGACCAAAGAUUUAUCGCCCUGAGAUAAGCCCGCGUAGGAUUAGCUAGUUGGUGGGGUAAAGGCUCACCAAGGCGACGAUCCUUAGCUGGUCUGAGAGGAUGAUCAGCCACACUGGGACUGAGACACGGCCCAGACUCCUACGGGAGGCAGCAGUGGGGGAAUAUUGGACAAUGGGCGAAAGCCUGAUCCAGCAAUGCCGCGUGAGUGAUGAAGGCCUUCGGGUUGUAAAGCUCUUUUACUCGGGACGAUAAUGACGGUACCGAGAGAAUAAGCCCCGGCUAACUCCGUG